GCCCCGGUAGCUCAGUCCGGUCAGAGCACCGCCUUGGUAAGGCGGGGGUCCCGGGUUCGAAUCCCGGCCGGGGCUCCA
rnacentral:tRNA from 1 species